rnacentral:rRNA from 1 species
CCUACGGGUGGCAGCAGUGAGGAAUAUUGGUCAAUGGGCGCGAGCCUGAACCAGCCAAGUAGCGUGAAGGAUGACUGCCCUACGGGUUGUAAACUUCUUUUAUAAAGGAAUAAAGUGAGGCACGUGUGCCUUUUUGUAUGUACUUUAUGAAUAAGGAUCGGCUAACUCCGUGCCAGCAGCCGCGGUAAUACGGAGGAUCCGAGCGUUAUCCGGAUUUAUUGGGUUUAAAGGGAGAGUAGGUGGGUUGUUAAGGCAGGUGUGAAAGUUUGCGGCGCAACCGUAAAAUUGCAAUUGAUACUGGCAGCCUUGAGUACAGGAGAGGUAUGCGGAAUGCGCGGUGUAGCGGUGAAAUGCUUAGAUAUCACGAAGAACUCCGAUUGCGAAGGCAGCCUACU